GACGAACGCUGGCGGCGUGCUUAACACAUGCAAGUCGAUCGGAAAGGCCCUGCUUUUGUGGGGUGCUCGAGUGGCGAACGGGUGAGUAACACGUGAGUAACCUGCCCUUGACUUUGGGAUAACUUCAGGAAGCUGGGGCUAAUACCGGAUAGGAGCUCCUGCUGCAUGGUGGGGGUUGGAAAGUUUCGGCGGUUGGGGAUGGACUCGCGGCUUAUCAGCUUGUUGGUGGGGUAGUGGCUUACCAAGGCUUUGACGGGUAGCCGGCCUGAGAGGGUGACCGGCCACAUUGGGACUGAGAUACGGCCCAGACUCCUACGGGAGGCAGCAGUGGGGAAUAUUGCACAAUGGGCGGAAGCCUGAUGCAGCAACGCCGCGUGCGGGAUGACGGCCUUCGGGUUGUAAACCGCUUUCGCCUGUGACGAAGCGUGAGUGACGGUAAUGGGUAAAGAAGCACCGGCUAACUACGUG
rnacentral:rRNA from 1 species